CCCUUAGAUGUCCUGGGCCGCACGCGCGUUACACUGAUGCAUUCAACGAGCUUAUAACCUUGGCCGAGAGGCCUGGGCAAUCUUGUUAACGUGCAUCGUGAUAGGGAUAGAUUAUUAAAAUUAUUAAUCUUGAACGAGGAAUUCCUAGUAAACGCAGAUCAUCAAUCUGCAUUGAUUACGUCCCUGCCCUUUGUACACACCGCCCGUCGCACCUACCGAUUGGAUGGUCCGGUGAAGCCUCGGGAUUGUGGUUCUUGCCGCUUUAUUGUGGCGUGACCGCGAGAACUUGUCUAAACCUUAUCAUCUAGAGGAAGGUGAAGUCGUAACA
rnacentral:rRNA from 1 species